rnacentral:rRNA from 1 species
CCUACGGGAGGCAGCAGUGGGGAAUAUUGCACAAUGUGGGAAACCCUGAUGCAGCGACGCCGCGUGAGUGAAGAAGUAUUUCGGUACGUAAAGCUCUAUCAGCAGGGAAGAAAAUGACGGUACCUGACUAAGAAGCCCCGGCUAACUACGUGCCAGCAGCCGCGGUAAUACGUAGGGGGCAAGCGUUAUCCGGAUUUACUGGGUGUAAAGGGAGCGUAGACGGCAGCGCAAGUCUGGAGUGAAAUCCCAUGGCUUAACCAUGGAACUGCUUUGGAAACUGUGCAGCUAGAGUGCAGGAGAGGUAAGCGGAAUUCCUAGUGUAGCGGUGAAAUGCGUAGAUAUUAGGAGGAACACCAGUGGCGAAGGCGGCUUACUGGACUGUAACUGACGUUGAGGCUUGAAAGCGUGGGGAGCAAACAGGAUUAGAUACCCUGGUAGUC